GAUGAACGCUGGCGGCGUGCCUAAUACAUGCAAGUCGAGCGAACGGACGAGAAGCUUGCUUCUCUGAUGUUAGCGGCGGACGGGUGAGUAACACGUGGAUAACCUACCUAUAAGACUGGGAUAACUUCGGGAAACCGGAGCUAAUACCGGAUAAUAUUUUGAACCGCAUGGUUCAAAAGUGAAAGACGGUCUUGCUGUCACUUAUAGAUGGAUCCGCGCUGCAUUAGCUAGUUGGUAAGGUAACGGCUUACCAAGGCAACGAUGCAUAGCCGACCUGAGAGGGUGAUCGGCCACACUGGAACUGAGACACGGUCCAGACUCCUACGGGAGGCAGCAGUAGGGAAUCUUCCGCAAUGGGCGAAAGCCUGACGGAGCAACGCCGCGUGAGUGAUGAAGGUCUUCGGAUCGUAAAACUCUGUUAUUAGGGAAGAACAUAUGUGUAAGUAACUGUGCACAUCUUGACGGUACCUAAUCAGAAAGCCACGGCUAACUACGUGCCAGCAGCCGCGGUAAUACGUAGGUGGCAAGCGUUAUCCGGAAUUAUUGGGCGUAAAGCGCGCGUAGGCGGUUUUUUAAGUCUGAUGUGAAAGCCCACGGCUCAACCGUGGAGGGUCAUUGGAAACUGGAAAACUUGAGUGCAGAAGAGGAAAGUGGAAUUCCAUGUGUAGCGGUGAAAUGCGCAGAGAUAUGGAGGAACACCAGUGGCGAAGGCGACUUUCUGGUCUGUAACUGACGCUGAUGUGCGAAAGCGUGGGGAUCAAACAGGAUUAGAUACCCUGGUAGUCCACGCCGUAAACGAUGAGUGCUAAGUGUUAGGGGGUUUCCGCCCCUUAGUGCUGCAGCUAACGCAUUAAGCACUCCGCCUGGGGAGUACGACCGCAAGGUUGAAACUCAAAGGAAUUGACGGGGACCCGCACAAGCGGUGGAGCAUGUGGUUUAAUUCGAAGCAACGCGAAGAACCUUACCAAAUCUUGACAUCCUUUGACAACUCUAGAGAUAGAGCCUUCCCCUUCGGGGGACAAAGUGACAGGUGGUGCAUGGUUGUCGUCAGCUCGUGUCGUGAGAUGUUGGGUUAAGUCCCGCAACGAGCGCAACCCUUAAGCUUAGUUGCCAUCAUUAAGUUGGGCACUCUAAGUUGACUGCCGGUGACAAACCGGAGGAAGGUGGGGAUGACGUCAAAUCAUCAUGCCCCUUAUGAUUUGGGCUACACACGUGCUACAAUGGACAAUACAAAGGGCAGCGAAACCGCGAGGUCAAGCAAAUCCCAUAAAGUUGUUCUCAGUUCGGAUUGUAGUCUGCAACUCGACUACAUGAAGCUGGAAUCGCUAGUAAUCGUAGAUUAGCAUGCUACGGUGAAUACGUUCCCGGGUCU
rnacentral:rRNA from 1 species